rnacentral:rRNA from 1 species
GACGAACGCUGGCGGCGUGCCUAAUACAUGCAAGUAGAACGCUGAAGGAGGAGCUUGCUUCUCUGGAUGAGUUGCGAACGGGUGAGUAACGCGUAGGUAACCUGCCUGGUAGCGGGGGAUAACUAUUGGAAACGAUAGCUAAUACCGCAUAAUAGUAGAUGUUGCAUGACAUUUGCUUAAAAGGUGCAAUUGCAUCACUACCAGAUGGACCUGCGUUGUAUUAGCUAGUUGGUGGGGUAACGGCUCACCAAGGCGACGAUACAUAGCCGACCUGAGAGGGUGAUCGGCCACACUGGGACUGAGACACGGCCCAGACGCCUACGGGAGGCAGCAGUAGGGAAUCUUCGGCAAGGGACGGAAGUCUGACCGAGCAACGCCGCGUGAGUGAAGAAGGUUUUCGGAUCGUAAAGCUCGGUUGUAAGAGAAGAACGAGUGUGAGAGUGGAAAGUUCACACUGUGACGGUAGCUUACCAGAAAGGGACGGCUAACUACGUG